GCGCGUUAUAGGAUUUUACUCGUGUUUUAAAUUAAAUUUAAUUUUGUGCAUUUUAUUGCGUUUUAAAUAAAAUAAGCGGCAGGCGGCAGCUAAAAAUAUAUUAAAGAAUAUAAUUUAUAUUCUAGAAAAUAAACAGGUUCAUCUGUAGACUGACCAGGACAAGGCAUUUUUCCAAUUUAAUAAGCCGCAGGCGGCAGUAAUAUUCUAAAAAAUAAAAAAGUUCAUCUGUAGACUGACAAAAAGGAUUAUAUUAUUGCAAGUAGUGCGUUGAAAGCACACCGCAUUUUAAAUAAAUUAAGCGGCAGGCGGCAGCUAUAUUCAAAAAAAUAAAAAGGUUCAUCUGUAGACUGACAAAAAGGAUUAUAUUAUUGCAAGUAGUGCGUUGAAAGCACACCGCAUUUUUAAUAAAUUAAGCGGCAGGCGGCAGCUAUAUUCAAAAAAAUAAAAAGGAAUACUACAGAAAUGGCAAAAGAGGAAGGAUUUAUAAUAAAGGUAUCAACAUCAGAACUGGGCUUAACAAAGCCCUUGGAAGCAGUCCAACUCCUUCUAAACACACCCGAUGCGAAAAAAUAUCCAAGGGAAGAAAAUUGUUCGUUCCAGAAAGUAAUGCAGAUGAUUGCAUCAAAUCACUAAAAUUUGACAAUUUGACGGCUGAACAAUUUGAUAACUAUUGGAUGGCAUGCGCGCAGCAUAGACUGCACACAAUUCAAAAUGCGAAUUCAACUUCCGAAAUUUUUGAGCAAUGGGAACAUUAUAAAGGUCCCCUUGGACACAGAUUGGUGAAUAAUAUAAUUUUCAUGAAAUCAUAACAUUAUAGUUUUAACCAAUGAAUAUAUAUUAUUUUAUUUAUAUAUACAUAUGUGACAUAUGACAUUUUGUUCUAAUAAUACUAUUUAAAUCAAAAAUGUUGCUAACCUAUUACCUUUUUAUUUGUUGGUUUUAACUUGAAUCACAGAACAAAUGUAAACAUGUUAAAACUAAUAAAAAUAUUGUUAAUAUUGAUCAUCUUACAAUUCUAUUUAAUAAAGAAAUUUCCCCUUAUAAAUUUAAAGUAGGAGGAGAAGCUAUACAAUACAUACCAUUUAUUCAUAUUUAUUGAAAUUUUGUAUAAUGCCUCACAUUCUGCAUGCAUUCCUGUUGAUUUUAUUACAAUUUUCUUACUCUUUUGUUUCUACUCGACAAUAUCUUUAACAAAUUUUAAUCAUGACGAUUUUUUAUUAAUUUUUGUUUAGAUUAAUAUGGACUUUGGGGCCAUGUUUGAUACAACAUAUUCCUUACUAGAUAACUUCAACCAAUAUUUUCCACAUAUCCUGGAAUUUUUAAAUAUUGAAAAGAAGGUUAAGGAAAGGGAAAUGAUAAAGCUUUUGGAAUCUUUAAGAUUGGAAGAUUUCAAUGAAAAUACAAGAAACGUAGUAAUUUUGCAUUGUCUGCACGGAUAUUUGAUCCCUACACAAAAAGCCGUAGUAAAGGAAAAAACGGGUAAAAAUAGUACCCUAAAGUACACUAUUAAAGACUCUCAAGAAGCAUUCCUGUUUAUCGCAAAAUCGCCACAGGAAGUAGAAGAUCAUCUUCUACACUUGCAACAGAGAUCGGGAGCAAUACAGCCGUUCGUAAUUGCUGUGGGUGAGGGGAUCACAGAAUGUAAAGAUUUUUUUGUUUAUUUUGAUGGUGUUAAAUUUCAAUUUAAAAGUCUUAUUAGAGCAGUUGACAUUUGUUUUAAAACUUUUCAUCUUUUUAAUUUGCACUAUCCAAUUGCAUGUUCUUCAUUUUGGACUUUUAUUCAGUUAUUUUUUUAUAAAAUUACACCAACAUCAUCCAAUCCCAGAAUUCAAAUUCUUAUAGAUUUCCUUAAAAAAAAGAAAAAUUGUGAAUAAACUUUGACUUUAUAUUCUAUUAUUAAUACUAAUAUUAUAUUAACAUUUAAAAAUAUUUAUUUAUUAUUAUUUAUAUAACAAAAAAACUCUUACAAUAAAUCGAACCAUUCCAAUGCAAAA